rnacentral:rRNA from 1 species
AUUGAACGCUGGCGGCAUGCCUUACACAUGCAAGUCGAACGGCAGCACGGGUGCUUGCACCUGGUGGCGAGUGGCGAACGGGUGAGUAAUACAUCGGAACAUGUCCUGUAGUGGGGGAUAGCCCGGCGAAAGCCGGAUUAAUACCGCAUACGAUCUACGGAUGAAAGCGGGGGACCUUCGGGCCUCGCGCUAUAGGGUUGGCCGAUGGUUGAUUCGAUAGUUGGUGGGGUAAAGGCCUACCAAGGCGACGAUCAGUAGCUGGUCUGAGAGGACGACCAGCCACAGGGAGACUGAGACGGGGCCCAGUCUCCUAGGGGGGGGAGCAGUGGGAAAUUUUGGAAAAGGGGCGAAACCGAGCGCGAGAAAUCCCGCGUGUGUGAAGAGGUCUUUGGGGGUGUAAAGCACUUUUGUCCGGAAAAAAAUCCUUGGAUCUAAUACUGUACAGGAUGACGGUACCGGACCAGAAAGCAACGGCUAACUACGUG